UGUUAGACGAGACCAUCUUUAAUGUUUAGGAAGACUGUUUCUCUAAAUGAAGAUAUUUUAGGGUUGCCAUGGAUUUCAAGCAGGCAAUGCCAUCAGGUCCAAACCCAAAACAAGGAAAUUGUAGGAGACAGGUGUGUUGGGGUUUCCUGCCAGCAUGACCACCCGCUUCACUUCCUGAACAUGAAAAAGGGUGAAAGUUUGUCAAAUGCAGUGAACCUGCUGAGACAUGAAGGAGGGGAUGAGAGGCCAGAACAUCAACCUCAUCUUCAUGGAGGACAUUGAUGCCAGAUGCAGUGAACCUGCUGAGAGAUGAAGGAGGGGAUGAGAGGCCAGAACAUCAGUCUCAUCUUCAUGGAGGACAUUGAUGCCAGAUGCAGUGUCACCUGUGACAGUAUUCAUAAAGAGUAGGAGAGCUGAUCUAGGAUCAGUUUAGCCUUAUAGAUCAUAAUGCAUCAGAUUACAUGGAGAGGAGGACCUGAUCCUAGAUUAUAAUGAAUCAGAUUACAUGGAGAGGGGGGACCUGAUCCUAUAUCAUAAUGAAUCAGAUUACAUGGAGAGGGGGGACCUGAUCCUAUAUCAUAAUGAAUCAGAUUACAUGGAGAGGGGGGACCUGAUCCUAGA